GCAGAGCCUGUGUCCUACGCUCUAGUCCCAUGCGUCCCUGUCACCCCAGGGGAGUGGGUCCUGACCUACUAACAGUUGGGACGGCGAUUCCGCGAGCGUAGUCCCAUUGUUGGAUCUCGUUGAUUCGAUACUUGGAGACGCCUGUGGGGCCCGGUCUCUUUGGUGUCCCAGGCUUCAUGACCCUUCUCUGAGGAGUCCCUACUCCAGCCGCACCGAACCCAGCUGCCACUGUAGCUGUUUACCCAAAAUGGCAUAUCUAACCCAGAAUCACUAAAAAGAAGCUGCCAUGUGAGAAGCUGCCAUGUAAGAACCGGCCACUGAGUGACAAGGCACCACCAUUUGAGUCUAGCUCCAGGGGACUGGACGUCUCUAUGUUGCCAGAGGCCCCAAACUCAUCUGCAAACCUAACAAAUGUCAAAACAGCUAGAAAAGAUGACACCAUACAAGACAAGCGAUUAGGGAGCAAACAUGGCCGAGAGUCUUCCUCUCUGAUGCACUCAACAAGGCAAGAACCAAAGAAUUACAAGACACAUUUUUCCAUCAUUAAAAAUGUUUAUUAAGUUUUA